AAAAAAAAAAAAAAAGAAUGCAAGCUCCAGGGAGCAGGACCAUCAUGUUUCUUCACCACUUGAUCUUCAUUUUCCAGGACAAUGAUUAGAACAGAGCAGGUUACAAGGAUUUGCUUUUGUGCCUCCUGGGAUGUAACCUGGAAGAAAGGCCUAUGAGAUCUGUCAUACAAGAAAGAAUUCCUGAUUAUAUGCCUUCUGGCCUGACAUCCUAGAAUUCUUGCUUUGGCUAUGAAUAUGGAAAAUACCACUUAACUCCCUCUUCUAUCUUCUCUCUCUCUCUCUCUCUCUCUCUCCCCCCUUCCUCAUA